rnacentral:lncRNA from 1 species
GACGUUCAUGUAGAAGUCGAGCGACUCCUUCACCGACGUGCAGACUAUGCUGAUAUGGUUAAGGGACGACAGCGGCAGCACGCCGCCCUUGUCGCCGCCACCGCCGCUCACCAUAGCCGCCGUCGUGUUUAGCAUCCUCACUGAUCACUUGCGGUCCUUGCCGGUGGCCGGAGGAUUCGUCGCUGUCCAACAAUGGACCGAAGCACCGAUCAAUCAAGCAAGAGAGAAAAGCAAAAUCG